rnacentral:rRNA from 1 species
GACGAACGCUGGCGGCAUGCCUAACACAUGCAAGUCGAACGGACCCUUCGGGGUUAGUGGCGCACGGGUGCGUAACGCGUGGGAAUCUGCCCUUAGGUUCGGAAUAGCUCGGGGAAACCUGAAUUAAUACCGGAUGAUGUCUUCGGACCAAAGAUUUAUCGCCUAAGGAUGAGCCCGCGUCGGAUUAGCUUGUUGGUGAGGUAAAAGCUCACCAAGGCGACGAUCCGUAGCUGGUCUGAGAGGAUGAUCAGCCACACUGGGACUGAGACACGGCCCAGACUCCUACGGGAGGCAGCAGUGGGGAAUAUUGGACAAUGGGCGCAAGCCUGAUCCAGCAAUGCCGCGUGAGUGAUGAAGGCCCUAGGGUUGUAAAGCUCUUUUACCCGGGAGGAUAAUGACAGUACCGGGGGAAUAAGCUCCGGCUAACUCCGUGCCAGCAGCCGCGGUAAUACGGAGGGAGCUAGCGUUGUUCGGAAUUACUGGGCGUAAAGCGCACGUAGGCGGC